CUUUUUUGACAAACCCUAGAUUGGUAUGUUCUCUCUUCUUCAAUACGCUGGUUCUUCUCAUUCUUCGCCGCCGAUCCAUCAUCCAAACCUUAUGAUUCAGACUGCAAUUAAUCUGGCUCCAUCAUUCUUCAUCUUCUCAACCGUCUAAUAGGAAGGCAUUUGAUAGGUUUCUUCAUAUUUUUUGUGAUUAGCUUGAUGAACAAGAUAAGGUAGAAUCAGUGGUCUCGAGCUGUUUCUCAGUUCAAGAGCCCUAAUCUCUUGGAUCACUAUUGGAAGCCUAAGAGCAACGAGGUUGUUGUACUCUUGAUCUGACAGAAACAAGAUCAAGAACAUGUAUGUGAAGUGAUCAAGAUUUUGUUAGGUUAUUGGAAUAUAUGGAGAUUGAUUGGCAGCUCUGUUUCUUAGGAUUUUAGGUUUGAUAGCUCUUGGGUCACUUUGGUAAAAUAUUGCUUCUUUUUUUGUUUUAUAUAUUAACAAUUUGUGAUUUAGGAUUUUAGCCAUAUUCAUCAUGUUGUUUCUUAUUUCGUACAGAAUAUUACUAUUGGAAUUAUCGUAGUUAUGUAAUUAAUUUCAAUAUUUCGCCAUGCCACACUUGAUCCGCUAAACUUGAUGAUGAAUCCGAUGCAAUUUCGGACUCAAUUCUGCAACAGCUGAUUUUAGAACUCAUUUACAUGCGUCUUUAUUUUAAUUUGAGUAUUAUUUAAUAGGAGCAGUUCAUUCAUUACAUUUACCACAAUUGUGCUAAUGAGACAUCUGAUGAUCAUAAUUGUGGUGAAGCAAAUAGGGAAAGAGAAAGAUCGGUUUACAUGCAAUGGGAUUUUGAUGACCAUACAAGUAAGAGGUUCUCAGUUGGUGUCAAGUUAGAAGACCUUUUGAAAUCCACACCAACAUAAUUUAAUGCAUUCCCUCUGCAAGGUACCUGUUCAAGUGGCUUAUGAAAUUUGUUGACUAUAAAAAGGUAGUUUGACAAUAGAUAGGCUAAUGCUGGUGUAUUGUUGUAACAUGUUACACACAAUUCAAUUCUGUCCAUGCUAUCUUUAUAUUUACACUUUGUUUGUGCAUUAGCAUACAUACAUGUUACACACAAUUCAAUUCUGUCCAUGCUAUCUUUAUAUUUACACUUUGUUUGUGCAUUAGCAUACAUAUUGGCUGACAUGUGGUUUAUUGAGGAAAAUGGUGACUAAUAUUUCUCUCAAAUUAAUUAAUUUUUUUUGGGGGGGGGGGUAUUAAUGAAGAUGAUGAUAACAAGGAUGGCGCAUACGUACUUAUGGCAGAGCUUGGAAUAAUAAGAAAGGCGAGAGCCGAUGAGAAGUGGCGCCAAGUGGCAAGUUGACUGGUGAAACUGGGACCCUUGGCUAUAUUGCAACGCAUGUGAAAGCUUAUAUCUUCAUUAAAGUAUUUUUGAAAACUUCAUUUUCUGAUUAUAUGUCCUGAACUUGCGAUUCAUGUUUCAAUUAUUUGAGAUGAACACCAGAGACGGUGCUCGAACACUCGCUGUUUCGAUUUGGUGUCCAGUUGAAAUCAGCGUUUGUUUGGAGACAAUGCAACCAGGCGUCAUCAAAGCAAUAACCAUAAAGUUUGAUAUUCAUUGGGAUGCAUUAUCUGGUCAAUAACGCCUCUAUCUAUUUGCCAGUAUUAAGGGUCUGCCCCCUUCUUCACUAAAAUGCCAUGUUACUCCAUUUUGAUCGAUCAUUCUUCACCCAUUGGCCCCUAAAACACCCCCUAGAACACUAGGGCAUGUGUCAAUAAGUUGUGGGGAGUCCUAGACUUGUUUGUCAAUCAUCUAUGGUGUCUUAGUCCACUAUAUAAAGGACCUUCAAGUCACAACCUUUCCUCACACCAUUUACAAGCAAUCUGAGCAUUGGAGGAGCUUACAAGCAGAUCAAGGGCCUUCCUAAUCAACCAUUAAUCAUCUAGUAAGUUGCCUAACCCUUCUAAAUUAAUUCUAGCUUUAUAAAUAGCUUAAAAGUCAAUAUAUCGUGCUUAACAGUUGACUUCGUGAUUAAGUGUCGAUAGCUCAGUCGUAUGUCAAAUUAAACGUACCGUUAGAUAGGUAAUUAUAUGGGUAUUAAACCCUUAUAAGGGCAAGUACCAAUUCCAGACCUAACUAGGUCGUUUGUCGGGUCAAACGUUGACCGAAAAAGUCAACAGAAUUACAAAAUACGAUUUAAUGCACGAUUAAUGAUCCGAGAGGUGUGUAACCUGUUUUAACCUUAAUAUAACAUGGUAAUAAGUAUAAAAACUUGUCUACGCUUGCCCGACUCGACAAAUUUCUGUUUAAACCCGGUUCGGAACCGAAAGGCGCAAAACCUUGACGUUUGCUUUGACUUCGGUUCUGACCCGUUUUAGUUUGAUUCGAAGAUGCCUUAGUGCUUCAUUAGGGUAGGGUUGUUUGAUAGUAUAAGUCUCUGUACUUGUUUCGUUGAUUAUCCGAUGCAUGCACACGUUUCCGUUAAUCGCUUAAAAUUGGACCAUAAUGCCCUUAUGACCACACAACGAGAAUUUUGAAAAUGUGGAAGUACAAUAAUCUUAGUUACUGAUUAUUAAACAUGUACGUAAAUUUUCACGUCAAUCGGAGGUCUAGAUUAAGAGAUAUGCGCAUUAGCGUAAAUAAUAAGCUUUUUAUUAAUUAAACGGCGCGAUUAGCGCAUAGCCUAUCUAAACCCGAUUUCGGUACCAAAACUUUUACCCACUGAUGUUAAAUAAUAUUUUGGGAUUUUUGAAGAUUUUUAAUUAUUUUUAAACUGAUCUUAAGCUAGGCUUAUCGCAUUAAUUCGGUUAAUACCGAAUAUGCCCUUUUAGGCCAUAAAACGAGUUUUACGAAUCCGUUUGAUACCAAUCCAAUUGCCACUGAUUUAAAAUAAUAAAUAGAGUGUUUUGAGCCUGUUUAGCUGAUCAGAAAACUCAGAAUGGUAUUUUAAACCGUACGUCGCUUAAAACGGCUUCAUACGCGUAUUAAACGCAUAAUUUGGGUUUAAAGCCAUUUUGGGAAAUGAGACUCUUCACCAACUGUUGUGGUCUGUUAAAAUUAAUAAUUUUGCUGAUUAAAUCAGACCCGUAUCUCAGAAGUAUUAUAAAUCUCUUUUAUAACCCUUAAAAUGACCGAAAUACCCCUACGGGGCAUAUUUAGGGAUUAAACUCGUUAUGGGCAUUAUGGAAGAUAUCAUAAUGAUAUCACAACAUAAUUAAAGCGUAUUAACUUAGGAAACCUGUUUGCA